AUCUGUGGUGACACAGACAUAUAGUGAAGCGCUCUAUAUGGCUUGGCAGAGCUUUAAAACUGUU
rnacentral:sRNA from 1 species